rnacentral:lncRNA from 1 species
AGGCGCGCGGGAGUGUCCAGAAAUAUCCCAAAAGACGAAUGAGCAUUUAUAAGAGUCUUGUCUGGAGCUAGAUAAGCUGAGACACGUAUAUUAAUUGAAAGUCUUCUUUAUAUAUAUGAUUCUGGAGUACUCGUGAAUAUAAAUAUAUAACUUUCUCUAAACUUUGGACCUAUAUAUACAAAACUAGAACAAAUUUGAUAAUCCUUUUGGUAAUUGUACUGGGUUGGAUGUUUUGUAGAUGUCAUUUUACGGAGUUUAUUCUACUGCAUUUUGAAUUUAAACUAUUUUCCUCUGUUUAUUAGCUUAAAAUAAUAAUAUCGCUUGUAAUAAAAAAUAAUAAUUAUAUUUCAUUUGGACAUAGAAGACAAAAAAAAUACAAGAUGUAUCAUGAAGAAAACAAACAUAUAUGCUUGCUAUUUGAACUACACUACGAUCUUCUUUUUAACUAAAGUGAGAUUCAAAGAAAUAAGUCUCAACUUCAUUAAAAAGACACAUAAAACGAUUAACAAAUAUAGUUUGUUGAUGCACAAAACCGGAGGGGUCUUGGAACAACGUAAAUCCGACUGUGAAUCUGCAAGACAGUAAAUAAUACAAGAUGUAUCGUGGUUCACCCCAAUAUUUGGGUCCACACUGAUAUUGUAUUUCUCUAUUUGUGAGCCUUGUGGCUUUGUAUGUGAGGAAGAUAGCUUCUGAGGGUAAGAGAGCUCUCCCCCAUGGCCUAAGAAUUGGCCUCUCUUAAUGAGGAGAGUGAGGGGUCAUUUUAUAGAAUAAGGGCCCCUCACUUAUUACAUAUUUGCCCCUUCAUUUAUUACAUAAUUACAUUUGAGUUUCCUGAGUAUUUAUACGAGAUCUAAAUACAUAGACCCUAAGUAUGGUACAAACAGUAGUCCCUCAAGUCUUCAGUCAAGAGAGUAUUUUGGCGGGAGACUUGAAAUUCAAUCCAUGUAUGGGCCGAAGUAACUAGAUGUCGUCUAUAACUGAAUACUCGAUAUGAGGCGGUGCUCAAUGUGAAAUGAUGCUCAACUAGAAGUAGCACAUAUUGCGAGGCUGUUCGGCUUGUGGCUUAUGUUGCCUUUGGUUGGCUCGGUUUGUGGCGUUGAAGGUGAGGGAGUCCCUUUUAUAGAAUAAAGGCUCACUCCUCAAUACAUAAAUGAUGGGCUAGAGUUGAUGCUCGCGGCGAGGCGGUUGCUCAGUAGGUGGUGAUGCUCUCUAAUGAUGGUGAGGGAGUCCCUUUUAUAGAAUAAGGGCUCGCUCCUCAAUACAUAAGUGAUGGGUUAGGAAUGAUGCUCUUUAAUGAUGGUGAGGGAGUCCCUUUUAUAGAAUAAGGGCUCGCUCCUCAAUACAUAAGUGAUGGGUUAGGAGUGAUGCUUGCGGCGAGGCGGUUGCUCAGCUGGCGGCGAUGCUCUCUAAUGAAUGUGAGGGAGUCCCUUUUAUAAAGUAAGGGCUCGCUCUUCAUUACAUGAAUAAUAGGUGUUCUCUAAUGAAAGUGAGGGAGUCCAUUUUAUAGAAUAAGGGCUCGCUCCUUAGUACAUAAAUAAUGGGCUAAGUCCCCCAAAUAUUUUCUAUGAGGCCCAGUUGUGGAAG